rnacentral:rRNA from 1 species
UACGAGUGCCCCAAGCGUUAUCCGGAUUUAUUGGGUGUAAAGGGUCUGUAGGCGGCUUAGCAAGUCGGGGGUUAAAUCCUGGAGCUCAACUCCAGAACUGCUUUCGAAACUGCUAAGCUUGAGAUCGGGAGAGGUAGAUGGAAUUGCCGGUGUAGGGGUAAAAUCCGUUAAUAUCGGCAAGAACACCAAAUGCGAAGGCUUUCUACUAGAACGAAUCUGACGCUGAGAGACGAAAGCGUGGGGAGCGAAUGGG